UAUUUUCAUUUGGUUCUAUCAAGAGGAAAAUAUGGCUUUGCCUGUCAGAUGACAAUUUACAGUGGGGUGAUUGAUUAACAAUUACUUGUCCACUUUGUAAUAAAAUUAGAUUAUAGGAAGUAUAUAAAUAUGGAAAUAAAACCCUCUCAAACUUCCAUGUCAAAGCACAAAGGUUGUCAUUUUAGCAUCUUUAACAACAAUGUUGAUCUUUAGGUGUCUGGUAUGGAUUACCUUGGUCUUUCUUUUGUCUGCAGGAUCAGAGAGUCGGCCCUUGACGGAGAAUAGGAGUCGAAAUCAACCGAUUCAGGCCUUAAGACAGUACCUGAAUGAAGAAGCUAAGAAAAACCAGUUUGAGUAGGUUAAGAGAACAAGUCCUGGGGGACCUGAUCAGCACCGUCACUUCAUAUAUAACUAGAAAUUAUAUAAUUUUCCCUUCUUAAAGUGGAUUUGGCCUUGUUCAUAUUUUGCUUUCUACUUUCUUUGUUGAAUAUGGGGGAACAAAGCAUCAAAAUGUGGUACUUGCAACAGGUUAAAUAUAACAUUGGUGUCUUGUCCCUCAUGUUUCAAGUGAAAAAAUAUCCACAUUUUGAUGCUUUGUUCCCUAUAUUCAAGAAACAAAGGAAAUAUAUAUAUCAACAAGGUAAAAUCCACAUUAAAAGAAGGGAAAUAUGAAAAAUUCCUAUUCUGAUAGAACAUUGUAGGUUCACAUAUGCUUGUAUGCUAUCUUUGAGGGAUGGAUGGAAAUUAUGACUGUUCUCGCUUUUUUUCUUAUAGUUUUCUAAUAAGCUAUUCUAAGUAAUUU
rnacentral:lncRNA from 1 species